UACGUAGGGUGCAAGCGUUACUCGGAAUUACUGGGCGUAAAGCGUGCGCAGGCGGUUCGUUGUGUCGGUGGUGAAAUCCCCGGGCUUAACCUGGGAAUGGCCAUGGAAACUGGCGAACUGGAGUGCGGCAGAGGGGGUGGAAUUCCGCGUGUAGCAGUGAAAUGCGUAGAGAUGCGGAGGAACACCGAUGGCGAAGGCAGCCCCCUGGGCUAGC
rnacentral:rRNA from 1 species